rnacentral:rRNA from 1 species
GACGAACGCUGGCGGCGUGCCUAAUACAUGCAAGUAGAACGCUGAAGGAGGAGCUUGCUUCUCUGGAUGAGUUGCGAACGGGUGAGUAACGCGUAGGUAACCUGCCUGGUAGCGGGGGAUAACUAUUGGAAACGAUAGCUAAUACCGCAUAAUAGUAGAUGUUGCAUGACAUUUACUUAAAAGGUGCAAUUGCAUCACUACCAGAUGGACCUGCGUUGUAUUAGCUAGUUGGUGGGGUAACGGCUCACCAAGGCGACGAUACAUAGCCGACCUGAGAGGGUGAUCGGCCACAAUGGGACCGGGACAAGGCCCAGACUCCUACGGGAGGCAGCAGUAGGGGAUCUUCGGCAAUGGACGAAAGGCUGACCGAGCAACGCCGCGUGAGUGAAGAAGGUUUUCGGAUCGUAAAGCUCUGUUGUAAGAGAAGAACGAGUGUGAGAGUGGAAAGUUCACACUGUGACGGUAUCUUACCAGAAAGGGACGGCUAACUACGUG